rnacentral:tRNA from 1 species
CGGAGCGUGGCGCAGCCCGGAUAGCGCACCUGAAUGGGGUUCAGGGGGUCGGAGGUUCAAAUCCUCUCGCUCCGACAA